rnacentral:piRNA from 1 species
AUGGUAACCUGGACUGAGCUGUU